rnacentral:lncRNA from 1 species
CUUUGACACAAAGUUUUGCUGCUUCUGAUGCCAAAGCUCCUGCACCACCCUCGCCAUCCAAAGGUUCCCCAUGGUGGCACCCUGACCCUAGCAAGCUUCAAAAGUGCAUUGGAGCUUACCGCACUGCUCCGGGAACGUGCUGCCGUGAGAUUCUCGUAUCUUUUUGGAUACGGAAGGUUGCCAUUGGGGAAGAUUGCUGUAAGGCCAUUGUAGAAGCUGAUGAUGAUUGCGCCUCUACUGUGUUCAGCCAGUUCAACAACCACUUCUUCCAGAUUUUGAAGCAACAUUGCUCGAACAAGGAAGGCCACGCCAGCACCAUCGCCACCAAAGGCAACACCGGCACCACCUCCAUCGAAAGCAACACCAUCACCACCAAAAUCAUAAGAUUUCUAGUCGAGUCUUAG